rnacentral:lncRNA from 1 species
GACGAUCACAUAGAGAAAAUUAAGGUCGAAUACAUCAUAGAUAACCACAAACUAGUAUAAUCGAUCUGGAUAUUAACACUACACAGCUACUAGGAUCACACAUACGGCACUAGUCCAUCAAUCGUCACAGCAUGAUUAAUGCACACUCUACGUUAUUCCAUAGAACGACGCCCUUAUCAGUACCUCAUGAGCUGAUCCACGAACAUGAUCCCUUGCAGGUUGCUGCCAGCUGAACUAAUAGGCUGCGUACUGCUUGUCCCACCCAUCACCUCCAAGGAGGAGGCCCAGGCAGCCCAGGUCAUACACCACCUGUUAGGAUUAAUUUAAGAUCAUCAUUGAUCUACCGAGGAUUAAGCAAUCACACGAAUAUGACGCCGAGUGUUAACGAGGUUCACUAAUAUGGAUACAUCCCGGGGCAUCACUACAUGUGCUCCUCCCCAUGACACCGCCAUAAUACCGCACCCUGACCACCCGGACGCCGGCACACGCCGCCGGCUCCCCCGCGUGCAUGUGCUAUUAUGUUGGCAUAUGUUACAUCGUGUGUCUACCCCCGAUAUGUAUGAGAGGCCUAGGAUACAAGUGUCUUAUUAGGACACAACUCCUACCCUGUCUACACACAGUCCAAAACCAAGUCCAAUUGUAACCUACUUUGUAAAAUAAUAUUCGACACCAUUCUAACAAACUCCACCUUGGCGAGUAUUCUCCACCACCUUGGAUUCAUCUAUGUGUCAAACCUCCAUGUACAUUGGACUUGAGAUACGCCAUGAGAACCGCUACUACUCCCAUACUCCAAGUGACGCCGCCUGCAACUGUAGUCCCUUCUCGUCUUCUUCACAAUCAACACUCGAGCAAAAUCAAGUUCCUCAUUAGCUUACUUUGUGCUUCCAAACUUCCGGAGUAUCCGUUCAACGUCAUCACACACCGAUCACUGACCUGCGUGAAAGUGAACAACUCACAUAUUGGAUGUCACAUAUAAGAGUUACCUGAACUCAAUAUCACCUCUCUUUCUUAACUGUCUGUCUGAAACUUGAAGGAAUUUCACCGUCUCCCUAUGUCACCCUGAGUCAAAUUCACAAUUGUCUCAUCCUUUUCCCGAAUAGUCUCUGGCCUGUCCCACAGCUAUAGCACUCCGCCUUCUUUUGUACUUGUCAUUCGCACUUUGCCAUGUGCACUGAAUACCAAUGAAUAUACGGUCAUGUACUCUUCGCUUCUGACAAUUUUACACUUUCCGUCAUUUUCUCAGAUUCUUCAUGGUCAACUCCUGUCCAUCAACCGGCACCGAUAGACCCAUUCACCAACUUGAAUAAUCUGGUACUUGUCAACACUACUUCAACACCCCCUGCACAAUUUGUCUGACCACUAGUGCCUUGGCCCGUUGUUGUGUCCCGUGCUUACCGCACGCCUUGACGAUAUCACCGUGUCGAGCCUCUGCUGUCCUGGCCGAGUCUCUUGGGCCGCGGGCCCACACCACUCAAAUCCCUACUGUAGAGAACCACCGAUCAUCACCGACCGAUGUCGAGUAUCAUGUCUCCAUCAAACCACCGGUACCCAGUCCAAUCCACAUGUCUCUCGCUUUUCCACUGAAAUAGGCUUCGAUUCUCCGAUAUCUUGCACUGUAGCCCCUCUAUCAGCACAUAGUGAAGUCGUCCAUCAAACUCCAGCUCCACCUUCAACAUGACUCCAUGUAGCUGCGCUAUGCUACCCCGCGCCCUGUCGACUUCAAUCUCUCUCAUGUGUACACCGCCUUGAAUCAAUCCCGCGCCAUAGUCUUUGUCGAAGCCGCACAAGCCCUCGGGCCUGCACCGCGUGUUUCCAUGCCCCAGAAGUCGGCCACCAUCAGCAUCACGCUCAUGUGUCGUCAUCGCUGAAAUCACCAUCGUCUUCUGCUUUGACCAACAUCCAUCCAGUCGAUCAUACCAUAUAGUCUGACCCAGCCGAAAUUAUCCGACUGCAAUCAUGCUCCACCCUGCGUCUUGUUCGCCCGCACAUCUCCGUACAUUACUUGACACCCUGUGUAUGCAUGAACCUAACGCGCUCCAGACUCCUGCUUCGAGCCUUAUACGCACGUCGCCAAUCUGCCAUCAUGAUGGUAAAACCUCGUGUCCAAUUAGCAACACUUCCAAAAGAAAUUUACUUUCCUGAUAGUCUCCAUGGGCGCCACAAAAUUUGCUCCCAUAAACUCAAAAGUCCUUUCUGUAUUGUGUUGUUGUCUAUGACACGGUCAAUACCAAACCAUGUAGAUUGCCCUUCUUUUUCUUUUGUCCAAACAAAUCCCCAAUCUGCUGCUCUACAACCUCCUGUAGCAGCAAUGACACAACGCCUUGCAUGCACAAAUUCAUCCAGCCUCAUACGACCAAUGCACUCCUGCACGGCUCCUGCGUGCCUACCUGGCUAGUGCCCACACUAGCCACGUUGCGCCGGCCUCCCCUGGGCUUCGUCCUUGAUGGGCCUGACGCGCGCCCUGGACUAGUGCCCUGACUAGCCACGCUACCGCCUCGUCUUCGAUUCGAUCUCGCGAACGCGUUCCGAUCCGAAUCAUGCCGCUACUGUAGGCUUACCUGCUACUGUUGCCUUUCGGUUGCUGAUCCAAUCUCACUAGUACCCUGCGGCCUCGCUCAGGAUUGCCCGCGCCUCGUCGCAUGAUGCGCCUGCACCCGCUGUUGCCGCCGUCCCAACAUGAUUUGGCCGACACAUCUUCUGCCGUUUUCGAUCGCUUCUCCUCUAGAACAACAAUCUCCGACCUCCUUGAACCUCGCUCAUGAUACCACUUGUGUGACGCCCCCGAUUCAAUUAUACACUAAUCAUACAUGCAAACGUGUACGAUCAAGAUCAAGGACUCACGGGAAGAUAUCACAACACAACUCUACAAAUAAAAUAAGUCAUACAAGCAUCAUAUUACAAGCCAGGGGCCUCGAGGGCUCAAAUACAAGAGCUCGAUCAUAGACGAGUCAGCGGAAGCAACAAUAUCUGAAUACAGACAUAAGUAAACAAGUCUGCCUUAAGAAGGCUAGCACAAAAGUAGCAAUGAUCGAAAAGGCAAGGCCUCCUGCCUGGGUCCCUCCUAAACUACUCUUGAUCGUCGUCAGCGGCCUGAACAUAGUAGUAGGCACCUCCAGUGUAGUAGGAGUCGUCGUCGACGGUGGCAUCUGGCUCCUGGACUCCAACUUUUGGUCGCAACAACCGGGUAUAGAAAGGGGAAAAAGAGGGAGCAAAGCAACCGUGAGUACUCAUCCAAAGUACUCGCAAGCAAGGAGCUACACUACAUAUGUAUGCAUUGGUAUCAAAUGGAAAAGGGUAGCAUAUGUGGAGUGAACUAUAGAAUGCCGGAAUAAGAGGGAGAUAGCUAGUCUUAUCGAAUACUAUGCUUCUGGCAACCUCCAUCUUGAAGCAGAAGAAGAGAGUAGAUGGUAAGUUAACCAAGUAUCAUCGCAUAGCAUAAUCAUACCCGGCGAUCCUCCCCUCGUCGCCCUGUGAGAGAGCGGUCACCGGGUUGUAUCUGACACUUGAAAGGGUGUGUUUUAUUAAGUAUCCAGUUCUAGUUGUCAUAAGGUCAAGGUACAACUCCGGGUCGUCCUUUUACCGAGGGACACGACUAUUCGAAUAGUUAAACUUCCCUGCAGGGGUGCGCCGCAUUUCCCAACACGCUAGAUCCCCUUUGGCCAAACACACUUUCUUGGGUCAUGCCCGGCCUCGGAAGAUCAACACGUUGCAGCCCCACCUAAGCACAACAGAGAGGUAAGCACGCCGGUCUAAAUCCUAAGCGCGCAGGCGUCUGGGCCCGUCGCCCAUUGCACACCUACACGUUGCGUACGCGACCGUGAGAAGACCUAGCAACCUCCAUUACAAAGGAAGUGCGUUACGCGGUCCAGCCCGGCGCGCGCCGCUCAGUCGCUAAUGUCAUGGAGGCUUCGACUGAUACCACGACGUCGAGUGCCCAUAACUGUUCCCACGUAGUUGGUUAGUGCGUAUAGGCCGGUGGCCAGCCUCAGAUCAAAUACCAAGAUCUCGUUAAGCGUGUUAUCUUGAAGUAACCGCGAACGCCGACCAGAGGGCCGUCGGGACAAAGGUCCUUUCAGCCCCCAAUCUGUGAAUCACUCGCGGGUACUCUACGAGCCGACCCGUCUUUAUUUAUCACAUGUAUCAUGUAUAUGUAUAUAUGUAUAUACCCGUGAUCACCUCCCUAGUGAUCACGGCCUGAUAGUAUAGCACGACAGACGGACAAGAAUGUAGGGCCACUGAUGAUAAACUAGCAUCCUAUACUAAGCAUUUAGGAUUGCAGGUAAGGUAUCAACAACUGUAGCAACAAUGACAGACUAUGCAACAGAAUAGGAUUAACGAAAAGCAGUAACAUGCUACACUACUCAAGUGCAAGCAAUAGAGAGAAGAAUAGGCGAUAUCUGGUGAUCAUGGGGGUGGCUUGCCUGGUUGCUCUGGCAAGAAGGAGGGGUCGUCAACAACGUAGUCGAUCGAGGCACCAACAUCGGCGCCAGUCUCGUAGUCUAUCGGAGAGAAGGGGGGAGAAACAAUGAAUACAAAGCAAACAGAUGCAUAACGAUACAUGGCAAGACAAUGAGCGUUGCUAGGUGUGCCCUAACGCGGUAGAAGGUGAUACCGGUGAAGGGGAAAACAUCCGGGAAAGUAUCCCCAGUCUUUCGCUUUGUCGCACAGAUGAAACAGAGGGGGGAAGUUGCGUGUUCGCUAUGCUAGGGAUGUGUGACGGACGAACGGGCUGGGUAUCCGAAUUUCUCUCGUCGUUCUGAGCAAUUUUCAUGUACAAAGUUUUUUCAUCCGAGCUACGGUUUAUUUUAUAUUAAUUUUCAAAGUUUUAAUGAAUUUCCAAAUUACUGGAUUUAUUUUAAUUCAAAAAUAAAAGCAGAAUAAACUUAUGCUACCUAGGGCUACCCUAGCCUAGGAGUAUGACAUUGGGGUCCAGGGGUUGAGUCAGCCCAGUUAAUUAUUGACUGGUCAACAAAGUCAAAGGGACCCAGAGGGGUCCCACCUGUCACUGACUGGGAGUGCCCAGUCAGCAGAGUUGAAUGGUCAAAGUGGUCCGGUGGGGGCCCAGGUGUCAUUGGCACAUCUGUUAGACUUGCUAUUUUAUUUACUUUAGCUAGGUUUAAUUUACCAGGGGGCCCAGUAGUCAUCGAAUAAUUAGGAGGGGGUUAAUUAGAUUAGAAACUAAUCUAAACUGGCCAGGAUUCCCCAGUCAGAGGCAACACCGGCCUCUUGGCUGUGCGCGCACGCAAACUGGGGGUCGGCCAUGGCCGCGUGAGCGCUGAGAGCAGCGGGCCGCGGCUAGCGGAAGCGGGACCGGCCAAGCGUAGCAGCAGGAGGCCAUGGCAGCGCUAGGUAGCGGCGGCGCAGAGCGGUCAGCCGCACGACAGCAGCAAGCAACACAGGGGGCCGCAACAACAUCAAAAGGCAGCCGCGGCCGGGACGGGCACUGGCGCGGCCAGGGCGAGCAGCUGGCGAAGGCAACGCUGGCGGAGCGCGGCAACUGGUAGCGGGGUGUGGCAUCUAGGCGUGGCCGGGUGGAGUAGAACGGACGGCCGGCGGGGAACGCUGCGACCGUGGGCGGGCGAGCGCACGGGCGCGGGACGCUGACGUGGCACACGGGCGCACGGGGACUUCGACGGUGUUUCGAGCUCGCGUGCAGUGCACAGUCACGAGCAUGGACGCGACGAGCGCGGGGACGUGCGGCCAUGGCGGACGGCAGAGCUCAGCUUCACGGGGACGGCGACUGAGCACACUAGAGCGUGAAGAGAUGGAAUGGAGAGAUGCGGAGGCUCACCGAGCGGCUCAAGGAGGCCGGCGACGGUUUAGGAGCGCAGAGGCGAGGUGGAUCGAUGCGGUGCAGCGACGUCAGGCGACGGAAGGGGGCGAGGUGAUGGAGGCGCUGCACUGCUCCCCGCGACGGAAAAGAGCGCCAGGGAGAAGGAGUCGAGGUCGCCGAAGCUCCUGGACCAGUCGCGGUGACGGGUGGACGCCGGCAACCGUGACGGUGACAGCGACGCGUCGACGAGUCCACUCGGGCGAGGCGGAUGCAUCGAGGGAGAGAGGGGAGUGAAUCUGGGUGGGGGUGAGUGGGGGUUUGGGGAGCCCAAGGGGUCGCGGGCUUCGACCUAAUCGCCUCACCGACGACGUGGACGGGGACGAGCAGGUUUGACGGCGACCGCGCCCGCUCGGUCGGGUGAACAGGGGCGCAGGGAUGACGACAGAGGAUGGGGAGUUGGGCUGGCUGGGCCGACCAGGCUGGAUGAGGCCCAGGGCAGGGGCCUUUUCCUCUACUUGAACUUUUGUAAUACCUUUUCUUUUAGUAGUUUCAGUUUUCCCAAUUCUUUUAAACCGAAAUAGUUUUAUAAAAAAAUAUAAGAAUUGCACCUAAAAUAUUAUUAUAAUUUAGGCUAUUGCCACAUUAAGUUUGGUGACUAAAUAAACUAGUUUAGUAUUGGUUUAUUAUUUUAAAAACAUUUAAAUCAUUGUUUUUUGCUACUGUUUUAAAUAUUUAGGACACCCAAAUAUUUUAUUAAACAUUGAUUUCUUCACCAAUAUUAUUUAUGGAUUAUUUUCCACAUUUCAACACUUUACUUUUGAUAUUAGAAGACUUUAAUUGUUUGACUUUUUUUUUAGUUUGAAUUUUGAAUUGAUUUGAAUCAAUGUGAGACUUAGCAAUAGUAACAGUGAUGACAUGGCAUCAUUAGCAGGGGAUUACUGUUGCUUGAUUAUCCGAGCGUUACAACUUGUUAGGAUUAAUUCGAGGUCAUCAUCGAUCUACCGAGGAUCAAGUAAUCACAUGAGCACGACGCCGAGAUUUGUUAAUGAGGUUCACCGAUAUGGCUACAUCCCCGGGGCACCACUACGAGCGCUCAUCCCCAUGACACCGCCACAAUACCGCAUCCCGACCACCCGAGCGCUGGCACACGCCGCCGGCUCCCCCGCGUGCAUGUGCUAUUAUGUUGGCAUAGGUUACAUCGUGUGUCUACCCCCGAUAUAUAUGAGAGGCCUAGGAUACAAGUGUCCUAUUAGGACAUAACUCCUACCCUGUCUACACACAGUCCAAAAUCAAGUCCAACUGUAACCUACUUUGUACAAUAAUAUUCAACACCACUCUAACACCACCAUGACGCAGAUGACCCACGGUGUAAAAGACCAUGCCGACUGUGUAUCCUGGGUCAGCGGCGAGGAGGACCCAGACUGCGCUGGCAUACAUGCAAUGGACGAGGAUGGUGAGCGCGAGCGCGAGGUAGGCGAGGGCACGACGAGCCCAGUGACGGCGACAUGGGAGCAGCAGCGCCAGCGCUGCUGUGGCCGCCUAGGAUGCGGCGCAGUAGAUCAUCCCGAUCUAGAGGGUGCUUUCCCUGGCGGCCUCAGCGUCCGUCAGCUCGACGCACCGUAGACUGAACAACGACUGCACCAUACCAGCUUGUCGCAUGAUGGAUCUAUGGCAAUGACAAUUUUCGAGGGAUAGUACACGGGUAGGUAGUUAGUUAAUUAACUUGUUGCACGGGAGGUCGAAGUGGGCAGCUCUGUAGUAGCCGCAGGCGAUGGCGAAAGCGUUGAUGAGCGCCCAUCCGCAGACGAGUGGCCGUGGGACAUGUUGAUGACAUGCAACUGAGGUGCGCCAUGCGGGCGGCCAAGCUUCGUGACAUUGAGGUCACUAUUGGUAUGUCGGUCAACACUUCCAAUUCCAUUUUACAUUUUUCUAAUGAUGAGAUUAUUCAUAAUACAAAUCAGUUAGGAGUUUCACUAGGUAGUAAUGAUAGCGAAAUCUAUAAAUCCAUUAAUGAUAUCCUGAAUCUUGAAGCGGCACGCGCUUUAGAACUGAUUCGAAACUUAGCAGCGGUCAAAUCUAUGAACGAUUCCGACAUAGAUGCAUUGGGAGUCAGAGUUCUCGAUAGUUUUUGUGCGGAUCUUGCCCCAUCCCUUCCUGAGACAGAGGAGGAUGAUGGUUCUAUUUCCCUAAGGGAUUCUAUCCCUAUCGAUUCUCAGGCAGUUAGGUCCAUGGAGCCCGGUUGUGAGGACCGGGUGGAGGAUCAAAACAAGUCUAAACGCAAGUGGAAGCGAAAGAUUUAUCCAGCUCCGGCUGUGCGUAGAAGUUCUAGGAACCGUACUACUAAAAAAAUUCAUGAUGAAAAUAUGAGCGGAAUCUUUUGGAAUAGCAAAGGUCUAACAUACUUGGCUAAAAGAAGGUUUCUAGCAGAUGCUUCUGUCGAACAUAAGUUGGAUUUUAUCGCCCUCUCUGAAACUGGAAGGAACAAUUUUACCCCCUAGUUUCUAAGUACUUUAUCGGGGGGUGUCGAUUUUGAUUGGCAUUGCCUACCUCCGAGAGGAAGAUCCGGUGGGAUCUUACUCGGGGUUAAAUGUGAGACGUUGGAAGUCCGAAGUGUGGUUAUGGGAGAUUUCGCUGUUAAGUUUUGGGUUAGAUCGAAGGCCGAUGGGUUUAAUUGGGCACUGGUGCGGUAUAUGGAGCCGCGCAACCAGAACUCAAACCAGAGUUUUUGGCUGAUCUUGCCCGCAUUUGUGGUACUGAGCAGCUUCCAAUCUUGGUUGGGGGCGACUUUAACAUUAUUAGAAGGAGAGAGAGGAAAAGAACAAUGAUAACUUUAACGGCAGAUGGUCGUUCUUGUUUAAUACAAUUCUUGAAAGCUUAGAUCUGAGAGAGAUAGAGCUUUCGGGUAGAAAAUUCACUUGGGCUAAUACAUUGCCAAACCCGAUGUUUGAGAAGCUGGAUCAUGUCCUCGCAAGCGUCGAAUGGGAGCAGAAAUUUCCCCUGGUAACAUUCCAAGUGUUAUCGCGCGCGAUCUCUGAUCACACCCCUUUGCUGGUUGACUCUGGUGAGGCAACGCAUGUGGGGAAUAAAAAUACCUUCUCUUUUGAAUUGGCAUGGUUUGAAAGAGAAGGUUUCUUGGAUCUGAUAGCCGGGAAUGGGCUAAAGAUGCAGGAGGGAGGACAUCUGUUGAAAGAUGGCAGAAUAAGAUAAGGCAUUUAAGAAGUUUCUAACAUGGGUGGGCUAAGCAUCUGAGUGGGAUUCAUAAGGUUGAAAAGGAAAGGCUCUUUACACUUAUUCAGUCCCUAGAUUUAAAAGCCGAGUCCACAAUUCUAGAGACCAGGGAGCUGGAAACUAAUGUGGACGUGGAGAUGAGACUGAAAGAACUCCUGCGAGAGGAGGAAUUGAAGUGGGCAUUGCGAGCUAAGGUUCGCAAAAUUGUCCAAGGGGAUGAUAACACUCAAUUCUUUCAUAUGAUCACCAAUGGAAAGCACUGAAAGAAAAGAAUUUUUCAGCUUGAGCAAGAUGAGGGGACGAUCUUAGGACAGGAAAACCUAAAAUUAUACAUAAACAAGCAGCUGUUUGGGCAUUCGGAGGAUAAUUCCGUAUCCUUGGAUGAGUCGAGGGUUGAGGAUGUUCCUCAACUUGCUACGGAUGAUAAUUAUAUUUUGACUGCCCCAUUUUCGAAGAAAGAGGUGUUUGAAGCUAUUUCACAAAUGAAGAAUAAUAAAGCUCCAGACCGGAUGGUUUUCCGGCGGAGUUUUAUAAAAAGUGUUGGCAUAUUAUUAAAGGGGAUUUGAUACCGAUGUUCCAUGGUUUAUUCUUUGGGCAGCUUCAGUUGUUUCAUUUGAAUUUUGGAAUGAUAACUUUGCUUCCUAAGAAAACAGAGGCCGUGAGAAUUGAGCAGUUCAGGCCGAUCUGUCUUCUUAAUGUAAGUUUCAAAAUUUUCACCAAGGUUGGGACUAAUAGACUUACAUAGAUUGCGCACUCUGUGGUGCAGCCGUCCCAAACUGCUUUCAUGCCGGACAGAAACAUCCUAGAAGGGGUUGUGGUCCUACAUGAAACGCUCCAUGAAAUUCACACGAAAAAACUAGACGGGGUUGUUUUCAGAGUGGAUUUCGAAAAAGUGUAUGAUAAAGUCAAAUGGCCAUUUCUUCAACAGGCCUUGCGCAUGAAAGGUUUCGAUCAGUCCUGGAGACACCAGGUAGAAUCUUUCACGCAAAAAGGGAGUGUUGGAAUUGAAGUGAAUGAUGACAUAGGUCACUACUUCCAAACACAUAAGGGCCUACGACAAGGAGAUCUGAUGUCACCUAUUUUGUUCAACAUAGUAGUCGACAUGUUGACGAUUUUAAUAGGAAGGGCUAAGGAUGCUGGUCAGGUAGGUGGCUUGGUUCCUCAUCUAGUUGACGGAGGUGUGUCUAUCCUACAGUACGCCGAUGAUACUAUCAUCUUCAUGGAGCAUGACUUGGCAAAAGGGCGAAACAUGAAGCUGGUGCUAUGCUUAUUCGAACAAUUGACCGGGUUAAAGAUGAACUUUCAUAAAAGCGAAUUGUUCUGUUUUAGAAGAGCCAAUGAGGAACAAGAUGCUUACAAACAAUUGUUCAGGUGCGAAUUGGGGGCUUUACCUUUCAUGUAUUUGGGUAUACCAAUUCACCAUCGUAAGCUGACAAAUAGAGAAUGGAAGUGUAUUGAGGAUCGAUUUGAGAAGAAACUGAGCUGCUAGAAGGGCAAGCUGAUGUCAUACGGAGGCCGAUUAAUUCUCAUUAAUUCGGUUCUCAUGAGUAUGCCAUGUUUCUCUUGUCCUUUUUCGAGGUACCAGUUGGAGUUCGGAAAAGGCUUGACUUCUAUCGAUCACACUUCUUCUGGCAGAGUGAUGGAUUAAAGCAAAAUUACAGACUCGCUAAAUGGGAUAUUAUUUGUCGACUGAAAGACCAAGGGGGUCUAGGUAUUGAAAAUCUUGAGGUGUAGAACACAUGUCUUCUCAGUAAGUGGCUGUAUAAGCUAUCUGUAUAGACGGAGGCCACAUGGGCGCAUAUUCCGCAUAAUAAGUACCUUCACUCCAAAACUUUGUCCCAGGUGACAGUGAGGCCGACGGACUCGCCUUUUUGGAAAUGACUGAUGAGAGUUAAAUCAGUCUUUUUCAAUAGGACAAAGUUUAUAGUUGGAAACGGUACCACUAUGAGAUUUUGGGAGGAUACAUGGCUAGGGGAAACACCCCUCGCGCUUCAAUAUCCUUCACUUUAUAGUAUUGUUCAACGAAGAGACGCUUAGGUUGCAUCAGUACUUCAGUCCACUCCUCUCAAUAUUCACUUCAGGAGGACGCUAGCCGGAAACCGUUGGGAAGCCUGGAUCCAUCUCGUAAGAAGACUGAUGGAUGUUCAGCUUUCUCAAUGGCCCGAUCAGUUGUGCUGGAAGCUAACUAGGAACGGAGAGUUUACGGUUAAAUCCAUGUAUAUCAAUGUUAUCAACUCUAGCUCUAUUCCUAGUUCGAAACAUAUUUGGAAAGUCAAAGUACCUUUGAAAGUUAAAGUGUUUAUGUGAUUUGUACAUAAACAAGUCAUUUUAACUAAGGACAACUUGGCAAAAUGCAACUGAACAGGAUCUACAAGAUGUAGUUUUUGUGAUCGGGAUGAAUCCAUCAAACACCUCUUUCUUGACUGUCCUUUGGCAAAAAAAUUGCGGCGGACGAUUCACACAGCCUUUAAUAUUACUCCUCCGAAUACUAUCAGCACGUUAUUUGGGACGUGGCUUGACGGGAUAGAUUCCGAAACAGCGAGACACAUUCGUGUAGGAGUAUGUGCUUUAUUAUGGGCAGUCUGGAGCUGCAGAAAUGAUUUGGUCUUUAACAGAACAACAAACAUUCAUUUUUUGCAGGUUAUUUUCCGAGCCACUGCGUUGAUCCGUAUGUGGUCGCUACUCACUCCGACGAAGGCCAGGGAGCGUAUGGUUACUGGAUCUAUCCGAUGGGAGAUGGUAGCACGGGCUAUUUUCAACCGGUUUAAAUGGCGGUCAUGUAAUAGGAUAGGCAAUUAGUGUUUCUAUCUUUUUUAUGCCAGCCGGUUGUGACUUUAUUUUUUGCUCUUUGUGAGCAUUUUUCGUUCUUUUGUUUGAGAGAUGAUGACUUGUGUUGAACCUAUUUGCUUAUUAAUAAGUAUGACAGUAUGCAUCGUUCUAAUGCAGAGACCGGGGAUCACCUUUUUUUCACCUCGUGAUUUCAACCUCGUGAUUUCUAGUGCAGAGACGAGAUCAGCAACAAUGUUCCCCUAGGGGACUCACCGUGACAGGAAAGAAGAAGAAAAACACAUUAGCAAGUUGGCCGGAGAUGGAGGGGACUCACCGUAACUCGCUGGUCGGAUGCACGCGAGGUUCUUCGCUUGGUGUGCUUAUUCUUUCCUGAAGGGGCUCGAGCUGCAAUCGCACAGCACAUCGGCCACGCUAGUGGUGGAUGGGCUGUUUAAGUGGCCGAGCAGCGAGAGAGAGAAGCAAAGCGACUCGAUCGGCAUGGGGCUGCCCCAAUACCCACUACGUGUCGAGCAGUCGCAGCAUGAGCUGCACACACACACACACAGACUGUGAGGAGAGUCUGGUGCGGUGCGGCAUGUAAAGAAGCAAGCAUGUGACGGUCUCUUCCCAUGGAAAUGACAAAGGGAAACUGCCGCGAAGUUGCCCCUAUACCCUGUUUGGCAAUGCAGUGGUGGGACGACGCCCAUCAGACCCAGCACUCGCACAUGCAUGCUGCAUACGCAUGUAAUAACGCCCGCUUCGUGCACGGCGCACCAGCCACACCACUCCAACCCGGUGGCUCAUAUUCACAUUUUGAUCAGCUAGCUAGCUAGCACAAUGAUUGACUGGAUUACAUUGUUAAUCUUUUUCGACGCUUGGAUCAGUUGGAUGAGUUACAUUGUUGACGUCAUCGAUUAGGUUUUUGAGGAGUUCAUUCAUCAACUUGUUUAUCUUCACUGAGAAUGGGAGCUGCUCCACCUACCAUCAAAGCCCUACACAGUUUAACUUGACCCUUGUCAAAAGAAAGAAAAACAUGAAUGCGACAUGCAUUUGCCAAGGCAUAAAGCAUCCAUACCCUCUGUGGCAAUGCAGUGGGCCGCUGUUAAUUUCUUUACACACAUGUGAAUGAAUGGAUAUAGCAAACUAGCUAAGCGUUGGGACGCUUAAUUUCUUUGCAGUGGACGGCCUUACCACGUACGUGCACAUAUGCACAUUGUACAUGGCAGUAAAAUGCUACCUAGCCAGCUCUUUUUAAUUGGCUGCACGUGCACGGCUUCAUUGUUUGUGUGGUUCAAUUGUUCAUGGAAUAACGAAAAAAUUGUAUUACUCACACAUGACGUGGUCAAAAUCUUUGUAAGCCAUUUACUGGAAGCUUAUGAUGAAAAUUCUGGCCUGAUAAGGCCGUUAGAAAAUGUAGUUCUCCUUGUCAGUAAUACAAGUAACUGCCUGAAAAAAAGUUCCAACUAACGUGAUCUCUAGUAGAAUACUGCAUACGCGUAAUAACCAGCCACACCCACUUUUUGAGCAGCAAGCUAGUACAAUAAUAUUUCUAUGGCUCAGAUGAGACAUCAACGGUCACUAGCCAGCCUAGAUGCCACAGCAUGCAUGCAAAACUACCCUCCUCUCGUCUUAGCCCGGCAAACUAAACGGUGUGGAAAGUUCAGGGUAGUAUCCUAACCGGUUUUGGAGUUGAGGUUGUAAAUUAUAAUAAGAAAUGAGUUCAAGGAUGACCUAUGCACUUGUCCUUUGAGUGAACUAUAUAUGUCUAACAAAGUUUGAUUACACCUUUCGGAUACCCAUUAAUUUGAUAUGUUCUAGAAGGUGUAAGUUGUGGAACAAUUCCAUCUUUACAUGAUUGCUAAGACUCAAAUAUUCGACUCCAUGACUAGGCGGAAGAAACUUAAUUUUUUGAAGGUUUAAGGAGGAAUGUUGUGUUUCUUUUUCCUUUUCUAUAAAACAUUAAGGCCUCUUUUGGUUCAUAGGAUAGAAUUAUCAUAGGAAUAGGAAUCUUGUAGAAAAUGAGAUGACAUGUAUCUCAAAUUCUAUGAGUAGGAAUAGGAAACAAGAUGUCAUUUGGUUGACAUCAAAGGAAUUUUUUCCAUUGAGUCUAGACUUUUUUUUAUUUUCCUAUGAAAUGUGGAGGAUAGUAACCAAUCCUAUGGAGGAAUAGGAAUCCAUUCCUAUGAACCAAAGGGCUCUAAAGGAAAAAAUCCUAUAAGAAUCCUAUCCUCUAAAAUUCCUAUGAAAUUCCUCUAAACCAAAGGAGGCCUAACCGGAUGUGGCUACGCACAGUGAAACCGCUCACACAAGUCAAGUGUCCGGGUGUGGAUUCCAAAGGCAAAAUGGGCAUCAAAAGAAGGGCCUCACUUGGCACGAGGGCAUUCUAAGCCAUAGCGUCCCGUACAUCCAGCCGUGAUUGCAUGAUCACAUGGGUCACUCAAUCUCAACCCAGAGGAUACGCCUGAAAAUUCUAGACUGACGGAGUAAUAUGGGUGUUUUACACAUCUCUUCGUUAACAAAUCUUCACCGGCCCCUGAUUUUCAGGGGGUGUGGGCCCCUCAUCCCCUUUCCUUCCAAUCAAAUUAUCCCAGCUCAGCAUCCCCGUAAAUCUCGGUAAAAAUUAGCCCGUGUGUGUAGCAUUGCUCGGAUACGCCAGCAGAUGCGGGAAUUAAUGAAAAAACAAUUUUUAACACCAGAAACAACAUGUGUGCAUGGAUAUACACUGGAGCAACAAUUUCACCAACAUAUAGCAUAUAACUCAUGUCUGACGAUCACAUAGAGAAAAUUAAGGUGGAAUACAUAGGAUAACUACUAGAAUCGAUCCAGUCUAAUUAUAUAGCCAGCGAGCAUUGCCCAAAUGGAGUAAUAUAAUUAACUAGUAGAGUCGAUCUGGAUAUUAACACUGCACUAGAUACGGCACUACUCCAUCAACCGUCACAGCAGAAUGAAUGCAUACUCUACGCUCUCAUCAGUACCUGGUGGAAUAUCACUGAUCCACGAACAUGAUCAG